rnacentral:rRNA from 1 species
AGAGUUUGAUCCUGGCUCAGAGUGAACGCUGGCGGCAGGCCUAACACAUGCAAGUCGAGCGGCAGCGCGGGGCAACCUGGCGGCGAGCGGCGGACGGGUGAGGAAUGCAUCGGAAUCUACCCUGUCGUGGGGGAUAACGUAGGGGAAACUUACGCUAAUACCGCAUACGACCGAGAGGUGAAAGUGGGGGACCGCAAGGCCUCACGCGAUUGGAUGAGCCGAUGCCGGAUUAGCUAGUUGGUGGGGUAAAGGCCCACCAAGGCGACGAUCCGUAGCUGGUCUGAGAGGAUGAUCAGCCACAUUGGGACUGAGACACGGCCCAAACUCCUACGGGAGGCAGCAGUGGGGAAUAUUGGACAAUGGGCGCAAGCCUGAUCCAGCCAUGCCGCGUGUGUGAAGAAGGCCUUCGGGUUGUAAAGCACUUUUGUUCGGGAAGAAAUCGUGCGGAUUAAUACUUCGUACGGAUGACGGUACCGAAAGAAUAAGCACCGGCUAACUUCGUGCCAGCAGCCGCGGUAAUACGAAGGGUGCAAGCGUUACUCGGAAUCACUGGGCGUAAAGCGUGCGUAGGCGGUUCGUUAAGUCUGCUGUGAAAGCCCUGGGCUCAACCUGGGAACUGCAGUGGAUACGGGCGGACUAGAGUGUGAUAGAGGAUGGUGGAAUUCCCGGUGUAGCGGUGAAAUGCGUAGAGAUCGGGAGGAACACCAGUGGCGAAGGCGGCCAUCUGGAUCAACACUGACGCUGAGGCACGAAAGCGUGGGGAGCAAACAGGAUUAGAUACCCUGGUAGUCCACGCCCUAAACGAUGCGAACUGGACGUUGGUUGCAACUUGGCAAUCAGUGUCGAAGCUAACGCGUUAAGUUCGCCGCCUGGGGAGUACGGUCGCAAGACUGAAACUCAAAGGAAUUGACGGGGGCCCGCACAAGCGGUGGAGUAUGUGGUUUAAUUCGAUGCAACGCGAAGAACCUUACCUGGCCUUGACAUCCAGUGAACUUUCCAGAGAUGGAUUGGUGCCUUCGGGAACACUGAGACGGGUGCUGCAUGGCUGUCGUCAGCUCGUGUCGUGAGAUGUUGGGUUAAGUCCCGCAACGAGCGCAACCCUUGUCCUUAGUUGCCAGCACGUAAUGGUGGGAACUCUAAGGAGACUGCCGGUGACAAACCGGAGGAAGGUGGGGAUGACGUCAAGUCAUCAUGGCCCUUACGGCCAGGGCUACACACGUACUACAAUGGUCGGUACAGAGGGUUGCAAUGCCGCGAGGUGGAGCCAAUCCCAGAAAACCGAUCCCAGUCCGGAUCGGAGUCUGCAACUCGACUCCGUGAAGUCGGAAUCGCUAGUAAUCGCGGAUCAGCUAUGCCGCGGUGAAUACGUUCCCGGGCCUUGUACACACCGCCCGUCACACCAUGGGAGUUGGUUGCUCCAGAAGUAGGUAGUCUAACCGCAAGGAGGACGCUUACCACGGAGUAGUCAAUGACUGGGGUGAAGUCGUAACAAGGUA